rnacentral:tRNA from 4 species
GGACUCGUAGCUCAGUUGGUUAGAGCGCGUCGUUGACAUCGACGAGGUCAGAGGUUCGACUCCUCUCGGGUCCA